UACGGAGGGGGCUAGCGUUGUUCGGAAUUACUGGGCGUAAAGCGCACGUAGGCGGCUUGGUAAGUUAGAGGUGAAAGCCCGGAGCUCAACUCCGGAAUUGCCUUUAAGACUGCAUCGCUAGAAUCAUGGAGAGGUUAGUGGAAUUCCGAGUGUAGAGGUGAAAUUCGUAGAUAUUCGGAAGAACACCAGUGGCGAAGGCGGCUCACUGGACUGGUAUUGACGCUGAGGUGCGAAAGCGUGGGGAGCAAACAGG
rnacentral:rRNA from 1 species